rnacentral:rRNA from 1 species
AACGCUAGCUACAGGCUUAACACAUGCAAGUCGAGGGGCAGCAUUAUCGAAGCUUGCUUUGGUAGAUGGCGACCGGCGCACGGGUGAGUAACGCGUAUCCAACCUUCCCCAUAGUAGGGCAUAGCCCGUAGAAAUGCGGAUUAAUACCCUAUGUAUUCCGAGGAUGACAUCUGAUUCGGAACAAAGGUUCACCGCUAUGGGAUGGGGAUGCGUCUGAUUAGGUAGUAGGCGGGGUAACGGCCCACCUAGCCGACGAUGGAUAGGGGUUCUGAGAGGAAGUUCCCCCACACUGGAACUGAGACACGGUCCAAACUCCUACGGGAGGCAGCAGUGAGGAAUAUUGGUCAAUGGGCGAGAGCCUGAACCAGCCAAGUAGCGUGCAGGAAGACGGCCCUAUGGGUUGUAAACUGCUUUUAUACAGGGAUAAAGUCGGGGACGCGUUCCCCGUUUGCAGGUACUGUAUGAAUAAGGACCGGCUAAUUCCGUGCCAGCAGCCGCGGUAAUACGGAAGGUCCGGGCGUUAUCCGGAUUUAUUGGGUUUAAAGGGAGCGCAGGCCGAUUAUUAAGCGUGACGUGAAAUGUAGAUGCUCAACAUCUGAACUGCGUCGCGAACUGGUAGUCUUGAGUGAGUUCGAUGUGGGCGGAAUUCGUGGUGUAGCGGCGAAAUGCUUAGAUAUCACGAAGAACUCCGAUUGCGAAGGCAGCCCACAAGGCCUUUACUGACGCUAAAGCUCGAAGGUGCGGGUAUCGAACAGGAUUAGAUACCCUGGUAGUCCGCACGGUAAACGAUGGAUGCCCGCUGUUUGCGAUAUACUGUGAGCGGCCAAGAGAAAUCGUUAAGCAUCCCACCUGGGGAGUACGCCGGCAACGGUGAAACUCAAAGGAAUUGACGGGGGCCCGCACAAGCGGAGGAACAUGUGGUUUAAUUCGAUGAUACGCGAGGAACCUUACCCGGGCUUGAACUGCAGCGGAAGGAAACAGAGAUGUUGACGUCCUUCGGGACCGCUGUGGAGGUGCUGCAUGGUUGUCGUCAGCUCGUGCCGUGAGGUGUCGGCUUAAGUGC